AGCGGCGGACGGGUGAGUAACACGUGGGCAACCUGCCUCACAAUGAGGGAUAGCCUUCCGAAAGGAAGAUUAAUACCUCAUAAUACAAAGAAAACGCAUGUUUUCUUUGCCAAAGAAUUUCGUUGUGAGAUGGGCCCGCGGCGCAUUAGCUUGUUGGUGAGGUAACGGCUCACCAAGGCUUCGAUGCGUAGCCGACCUGAGAGGGUGAUCGGCCACAUUGGAACUGAGACACGGUCCAGACUCCUACGGGAGGCAGCAGUGGGGAAUAUUGCACAAUGGAGGAAACUCUGAUGCAGCAACGCCGCGUGAGUGAUGAAGGUCUUCGGAUUGUAAAGCUCUGUCUUCUGGGACGAUAAUGACGGUACCAGAGGAGGAAGCCACGGCUAACUACGUGCCAGCAGCCGCGGUAAUACGUAGGUGGCAAGCGUUGUCCGGAUUUACUGGGCGUAAAGGAUGUGUAGGCGGAUAUUUAAGUGAGAUGUGAAAUCCCCGGGCUUAACUUGGGGGCUGCAUUUCAAACUGGAUGUCUAGAGUGCAGGAGAGGAAAGCAGAAUUCCUAGUGUAGCGGUGAAAUGCGUAGAGAUUAGGAAGAAUACCAGUGGCGAAGGCGGCUUUCUGGACUGUAACUGACGCUGAGGCAUGAAAGCGUGGGGAGCAAACAGGAUUAGAUACCCUGGUAGUCCACGCCGUAAA
rnacentral:rRNA from 1 species